CUCCGCCCAAACGGAAAGAGAGGAAAGGGGAAAAGAAAAGAAAGAGGACUGGGCGGUGCGUUCACAGCCAAAAAAAACUCGCCGGACGCCACCUGUGUCAGUCAGGGUUGAUUCUGCUCAUGCCUGCAGCCUCACACAGCUGCUAGAGCGGGGAACCAAAGUCGUUACGUCCACGACAGCCUGGGUGUUAACCAAUGAAAUCUCACGAUCCGAGCUACUGCAAUCUAAAAUCUAUGGACCGGAGACGUCUGUGUGGAACAGCACCCUGCUGACCCCCCCCCCAUUUCAAAAAGAACGAGCAGGGGCUCAAAUUACAGCAGCACAGACUCACCGGAAUCCUGUCUGCCCACAUUUAAAACUGAAGUACACCUAAGGAGGGUUUGCCUGUUCUUUCUGUCACGUGUUUGUAUCUGUAGCAAAGGUCUGGAGUUUGUGAUCGUCCAAAAGAACAAAAAAAUAAAAUAAUGAUAAUACUGAUUAAAGAAUGUAUUUG